rnacentral:sRNA from 1 species
AAAAUCUGGCGCCCUGUGGAGAUCUUUAGACUGGUCAGCAAAUAUCAAAACGAGAUCUCAGACAGGAGAAUCUGUGCCUCUGCAUCAGCAGCCGACCUUGCCUACCAGCUCCUGGGUGUCCUGGAGUCUUUGAGGAGCAACGAUUUGAACUAUUUCUUCUACUUCACCCACAUUGAUGCAGGCAUGUUCGGCGUCUUUAACAACGGGCAUCUGUUCAUCCGGGAUGCCAGUGCAGUGGGCGUCAUCGACAAGCAGGAAGGCAGCCAAGAAGCCACCAGGGCAGGAGAGAAUAAAGACAUUUUUAGCUGCCUGGUUUCCGGCUGCCAGGCCCAGCUGCCCUCCUGCGAAAGCAUCUCUGAGAAGCAGAGCCUGGUGCUGGUGUGUCAGAAGUUGCUGCCUCGACUUCUCCAGGGGAGGUUCCCCUCCCCACUGCAAGAUGACAUAGACUCCGUCCUUGCUCAGUGUGGGGACAGCAUCCGCCCAGACCCAGAAGUCCUUGGGGCUGCCAGCCAGCUGAAAGACAUCUUGAGGCCCCUGAGAACGUGUGACUCCAGAUUUGCCUAUCGUUACCCAGAUUGCAAAUAUAACGAUAAGUUCUGAAGGGCUGGUGUCUAGCUGGCCUUGGGGACAACACGCUUGGCUCUCCAUUCUCCCAGUCGGGUUGCUGCAAGGUAGAAAGAAGCAGCUCUUUUUUAAAGAUGAGAAGAAAGGCACACUCAUUUCUUAGGGACUGAGAGGGGAGUUGUGAGAUACCAUGUGGCUGUCUCUGCUGGCUGGGACGUCCUGGCAAAGCCCGGGGUGGGUAUCAGGAGACCUGGGUAUGGAUGCUCACUCAAUGUCUUUGAGCUUCAGUUUCCUCUAUUCUCUACCAGACUCUCCUGAGGUCUUGGGACACAUGCUCACCACCUCCAUCCCAGGUGGUUACAAAGUGUGUUCUGGAAAAGCACAGAGGCGGGGAGCAUGAGAAAGAGCCACUCAGGUCAGGAGGAUGGAGUGGAGGGAAGGCAGGGAAAGGACAGGCUCCCUGUCACUACCACUUUAGACUCGGACAAGAGGGGCCCCCUUCCUGUUCCCUGUGGCCCUGCAUCACUCCCUACACCAUCGCGGGAUGAGGAGACUGCAGGCCAAGGGGACAUGCCUGCCACCACCUAGAGCCUGGUACCUGAGGCUCCAUACACCUGCGCAUGGGGCUUCUCGUGGUGUGGGAAGAAGCCAGGGGUAAGAAGAUAAGGGGGGCCGGCGGGGGACCAAUGUGUUAGCCCAAGUGCUCCAAGAAUAUGUGUCAAGAUAGAGUGAAUGGAACAAAGAUUUGUUAGGGGAAAUGCUUGUGUGUAAGGAAAGAAGGAGGGAGCCGGAGAAGAUUGGGAGGACCAGUAAGUCGAGCUGCAAGCUGAGCCCCGGUGAAGGAGAGAAUGUCCGGCAGGAGCUUGCUAAGCUCAAAAUCAAAGAAAGGUUCAGCAAGGCUGUCAGGGUGUCCUCAAGGCAAAGGCAGCCAUCAGAAGAGCCCCGUGUCUCCCACAAAUAGACCCCGUUAGCAUCCCUGCUGCACUCAGUGGUUGGCGGAAACAGCAAAGAUAGAUUUCAGCGCACAGCAGCAGGGGUCCCUGGACAGCCCCGCUCCCUAGAGCAGGAGAUCUUGAGUGGGAGAACAUUCUUGUUGUGGCCACAGCUGAGGCCCUGGACCAGCUCUCUCUACACCGCGUGCUCUGAGUUGGGACUCUAAGGAGUCUAGGAAAUUUCAUUCAAACUUGGCCUUACAGGUCAACUCAUCAGAAAAAUAUUUUUUUCAAGGUCAACCAAUAGAACAUACUUUAUUCAACAGUUUGUUAAUUUGCUUUUUAAAUAUUUAGCCACAUGGUAUGUGGGCUUCCAUGUACACUCUUGCCCUGGCCCCUGAAACAUAAGCAGGGGGCUCUUCUGUACAUUUGCCCAGCUUCCCUGCCAGCCUUUAACCCCAGGAACCUCUCAGUCUACCUCCUCUUUUCUACCUCUGAAUCCCUACCUUUAAAGUCAGAACAGGCCAGGCACGGUGGCUCACACCUGUAAUCCCAGCACUUUGGGAGGCUGAGGUGGGUGGAUCACUUGACAUCAGUAGUUCAAGAUGAGCCUGGCCAACAUGGUGAAACCCCAUCUCUACUAAAAAUACAAAAAUUAGCCAGGCGUGGUGGUGGGCGCCUGUAAUCCCAGCUACUCGGGAGGCUGAGGCAGGAGAAUCGCUUGAACCCAGGAGGCAGAGUUUGCAGUCAGCCAAGAUCAUGCCACUGUACUCCAGCCUGGAUGACAGAGUGAGACUCCGUCUC